rnacentral:misc_RNA from 1 species
GAUGAAGAACGCAGCGAAAUGCGAUAAGUAAUGUGAAUUGCAGAAUUCAGUGAAUCAUCGAAUCUUUGAACGCACCUUGCGCCCCUUGGUUAUUCCAAAGGGCAUGCCUGUUUGAGUAUCAUGAACACCUCAACUCUUGUGGUUUCCCACAAUGAGCUUGGACUGUGGAGGUUUUGUUGGCCCUGUGGUCAGCUCCUCUCAAAUGGAUCAGCUUACCGGUGUUUGGUGGCAUUACGGGUGUGAUAACUAUCUACGCUUGUGGUUUUCCACCAGGGUAACCUUCAGCAGUGGAGGUUCACUGGAGCUUACAAAUGUCUCUCCUCUGUGAGGACAGCCCUUUGAAUGUUUGAUCUCAAAUCAGGUAGGACUACCCGCUGAACUUAAGCAUAUCAAUAAGCGGAGGA